rnacentral:rRNA from 1 species
GUGGGGAAUUUUGGACAAUGGGCGCAAGCCUGAUCCAGCAAUGCCGCGUGCAGGAAGAAGGCCUUCGGGUUGUAAACUGCUUUUGUACGGAACGAAAAGGUCUGGGUUAAUACCCUGGGCUCAUGACGGUACCGUAAGAAUAAGCACCGGCUAACUACGUGCCAGCAGCCGCGGUAAUACGUAGGGUGCGAGCGUUAAUCGGAAUUACUGGGCGUAAAGCGUGCGCAGGCGGUUUUGUAAGACAGGCGUGAAAUCCCCGGGCUCAACCUGGGAAUGGCGCUUGUGACUGCAAAGCUGGAGUGCGGCAGAGGGGGAUGGAAUUCCGCGUGUAGCAGUGAAAUGCGUAGAUAUGCGGAGGAACACCGAUGGCGAAGGCAAUCCCCUGGGCCUGCACUGACGCUCAUGCACGAAAGCGUGGGGAGCAAACAGGAUUAGAUACCCCUGUAGUCC